GGAAAGGUGCUCGAGUGGUUGAAGAGGCACGCCUGGAAAGCGUGUAACCGUCUAAAGCGGUUCGGGGGUUCGAAUCCCCCUCUUUCCG
rnacentral:tRNA from 1 species